rnacentral:misc_RNA from 1 species
CUGAUACUGUCAAACAAAAAAAGCGUCUAUGUGGAUCGAGACUAGACACCGUGAGGCGUCCAAUCCGUCACCGCAGGGAUCGAUCCGAGGACCAAUCCCUACACCUUGCCCGGCAUUGCUGCACAGGCUCGGGUUAAUGUUUGUCAGAGUUUUACCUCCAACACCAUUUGAUUUGUUAAUGAUCCUUCCGCAGGUUCACCUACGGAAACCUUGUUACGACUUUUACUUCCUCUAAAUGACCAAGA